GGUGACGAGUGGCGGACGGGUGAGUAAUGUCUGGGAAACUGCCCGGUGGAGGGGGAUAACUACUGGAAACGGUAGCUAAUACCGCAUAACGUCUUCGGACCAAAGUGGGGGAUCUUCGGACCUCACGCCACCGGAUGUGCCCAGAUGGGAUUAGCUAGUAGGUGGGGUAACGGCUCACCUAGGCGACGAUCCCUAGCUGGUCUGAGAGGAUGACCAGCCACACUGGAACUGAGACACGGUCCAGACUCCUACGGGAGGCAGCAGUGGGGAAUAUUGCACAAUGGGCGCAAGCCUGAUGCAGCCAUGCCGCGUGUAUGAAGAAGGCCUUCGGGUUGUAAAGUACUUUCAGCGGGGAGGAAGGCGGUGAGGUUAAUAACCUCGCCGAUUGACGUUACCCGCAGAAGAAGCACCGGCUAACUCCGUGCCAGCAGCCGCGGUAAUACGGAGGGUGCAAGCGUUAAUCGGAAUUACUGGGCGUAAAGCGCACGCAGGCGGUCUGUUAAGUCAGAUGUGAAAUCCCCGGGCUUAACCUGGGAACUGCAUUUGAAACUGGCAGGCUUGAGUCUCGUAGAGGGGGGUAGAAUUCCAGGUGUAGCGGUGAAAUGCGUAGAGAUCUGGAGGAAUACCGGUGGCGAAGGCGGCCCCCUGGACGAAGACUGACGCUCAGGUGCGAAAGCGUGGGGAGCAAACAGGAUUAGAU
rnacentral:rRNA from 1 species